rnacentral:rRNA from 1 species
GACGAACGCUGGCGGCGUGCCUAACACAUGCAAGUCGAACGAAGUAUGUUUUUCGGAAUAUACUUAGUGGCGGACGGGUGAGUAACGCGUGAACAACCUGCCCUAUACAAAGGAAUAGCCUCGGGAAACUGGGAUUAAGACCGUAUAACACUUUAGUGCCGCAUGGUACAUAAGUCAAAUUGAUUAAGAGGUAUAGGAUGAGUUCGCGUCUGAUUAGCUAGUUGGUGAGGUAAUGGCUCACCAAGGCGACGAUCAGUAGCCGGCCUGAGAGGGUGAACGGCCACACUGGAACUGAGACACGGUCCAGACUCCCACGGGAGGCAGCAGUGGGGAAUACUGCACAAUGGGCGAAAGCCUGAUGCAGCGACGCCGCGUGAGUGAAGAAGGUCUUCGGAUCGUAAAACUCUGUCCUUGGUGAAGAAAAAAAUGACGGUAGCCAAGGAGGAAGCCCCGGCUAACUACGUGCCAGCAGCCGCGGUAAUACGUAGGGGGCGAGCGUUGUCCGGAUUUACUGGGCGUAAAGGGUGAGUAGGCGGUUGUAUAUGUCAGAUGUAAAAGGCUAUGGCUUAACUAUAGUAAGCAUUUGAAACUGUACAACUUGAGUGCAGGAGAGGUAAGUGGAAUUCCUAGUGUAGCGGUGAAAUGCGUAGAUAUUAGGAGGAACACCAGUGGCGAAGGCGACUUACUGGACUGUAACUGACGCUGAGUCACGAAAGCGUGGGUAGCAAACAGGAUUAGAUACCCUGGUAGUCCACGCUGUAAACGAUGAGUGCUAGGUGUUGGGUAGCGAUAUUCAGUGCCGAAGUUAACACAAUAAGCACUCCGCCUGGGGAGUACGGUCGCAAGACUGAAACUCAAAGGAAUUGACGGGGACCCGCACAAGCAGCGGAGCAUGUGGUUUAAUUCGAAGCAACGCGAAGAACCUUACCAAGGUUUGACAUCCCCUUGACAGAUGCAGAGAUGUGUC